UACGGGGGGGGCAAGCGUUGUUCGGAAUUACUGGGCGUAAAGGGCUCGUAGGCGGCCAACUAAGUCAGACGUGAAAUCCCCAGGCUCAACCUGGGAACUGCGUCUGAUACUGGAUGGCUUGAGGUUGGGAGAGGGAUGCGGAAUUCCAGGUGUAGCGGUGAAAUGCGUAGAUAUCUGGAGGAACACCGGUGGCGAAGGCGGCAUCCUGGACCAAUUCUGACACUGAGGAGCGAAAGCCAGGGGAGCAAACGGG
rnacentral:rRNA from 1 species